CAGUAGCCGCGGUAAUAUGAGGGGGGCAAGCGUUGUUCGGAAUUAUUGGGCGUAAAGGGUGCGUAGGCGGUUUGACAAGUCUUGUGUGAAGUCUCUGGGCUCAACCCAGAGUCCGCACGGGAAACUGUCGGGCUAGAGGAUGGGAGAGGUGAGUGGAAUUUCCGGUGUAGCGGUGAAAUGCGUAGAUAUCGGAAGGAACACCUGUGGCGAAAGCGGCUCACUGGACCAUUUCUGACGCUGAUGCACGAAAGCUAGGGGAGCAAACAGGAUUAGAGACCCCCGUAGUCCCUGUCUCUUAUAC
rnacentral:rRNA from 1 species